rnacentral:rRNA from 1 species
CCGCUAUUGGAGUUCGAUUAAGCCAUGCGAGUCGAGAGUCCUCGGGACUCGGCGUACCGCUCAGUAACACGUGGGUAACCUGCCCUAUGCUGGGGAAUAACCUCGGGAAACUGAGAAUAAUGCCCCAUAGCCCACUACGCCUGGAACGGUGAGUGGGUCAAAGCCCCGGCGGCAUAGGAUGGGCCUGCGCCGUAUCAGGUUGUAGGGGGUGUAAAGUACCCUCUAGCCAUCAACGCGUACGGGUGUUGGGAGACAUUGCCCGGAGAUGGAUUCUGAGACACGAAUCCAGACCCUACGGGGUGCAGCAGGCGCGAAAACUUGGCAAUGCGAGAAAUCGUGACCAGGGAACUCCAAGUGCGUAGGGUAAGACCUACGCUUUUCUUGACUCUUCAAAGGUCUUGGAAUAAGGGGUGGGUAAGGACGGUGCCAGCCGCCGCGGUAAUACCGGCGCCUCAAGUGGUAGUCGCUUUUAUUGGGCCUAAAACGUCCGUAGCCGGUCUGGUGCAUUCGUGGGUAAAUCAACCCGCUCAACGGGUUGAAUUCUGCGAGCACGGCCAGACUUGGGACCGGGAGAGGUGUGGGGUACUCUCAGGGUAGGGGUAAAAUCCUGUCAUCCUGAGAGGACCACCUGUUGCGAAGGCGCCACACUAGAACGGAUCCGACGGUCAGGGACGAAACCUAGGGGCACGAACCGGAUUAGAUACCCGGGUAGUCCUAGGUGUAAACGCUGUGGACUUGAUGUUGGGGGCGCUCCGAGCGCUCUCAGUGUCGAAGCGAAGGUGAUAAGUCCACUGCCUGGGGAGUACGGUCGCAAGGCUGAAACUUAAAGGAAUUGGCGGGGGAGCACUGCAACCUGAGGAUUGUGCGG